GUCUAUGGCCAUACCACCCUGAACGCGUCCGAUCUCGUCUGAUCUCGGAAGCUAAGCAGGGUCGGGCCUGGUUAGUACUUGGAUGGGAGACCACCUGGAACGACCGGGUGUUGUAGGCU
rnacentral:rRNA from 1 species